UUUUAUGAGAGUUUGAUCCUGGCUCAGGACGAACGCUGGCGGCGUGCCUAAUACAUGCAAGUCGAACGCUUCUUUUUCCACCGGAGCUUGCUCCACCGGAAAAAGAGGAGUGGCGAACGGGUGAGUAACACGUGGGUAACCUGCCCAUCAGAAGGGGAUAACACUUGGAAACAGGUGCUAAUACCGCAUAACAAUCAAAACCGCAUGGUUUUGAUUUGAAAGGCGCUUUCGGGUGUCGCUGAUGGAUGGACCCGCGGUGCAUUAGCUAGUUGGUGAGGUAACGGCUCACCAAGGCCACGAUGCAUAGCCGACCUGAGAGGGUGAUCGGCCACAUUGGGACUGAGACACGGCCCAAACUCCUACGGGAGGCAGCAGUAGGGAAUCUUCGGCAAUGGACGAAAGUCUGACCGAGCAACGCCGCGUGAGUGAAGAAGGUUUUCGGAUCGUAAAACUCUGUUGUUAGAGAAGAACAAGGAUGAGAGUAACUGUUCAUCCCUUGACGGUAUCUAACCAGAAAGCCACGGCUAACUACGUGCCAGCAGCCGCGGUAAUACGUAGGUGGCAAGCGUUGUCCGGAUUUAUUGGGCGUAAAGCGAGCGCAGGCGGUUUCUUAAGUCUGAUGUGAAAGCCCCCGGCUCAACCGGGGAGGGUCAUUGGAAACUGGGAGACUUGAGUGCAGAAGAGGAGAGUGGAAUUCCAUGUGUAGCGGUGAAAUGCGUAGAUAUAUGGAGGAACACCAGUGGCGAAGGCGGCUCUCUGGUCUGUAACUGACGCUGAGGCUCGAAAGCGUGGGGAGCAAACAGGAUUAGAUACCCUGGUAGUCCACGCCGUAAACGAUGAGUGCUAAGUGUUGGAGGGUUUCCGCCCUUCAGUGCUGCAGCUAACGCAUUAAGCACUCCGCCUGGGGAGUACGACCGCAAGGUUGAAACUCAAAGGAAUUGACGGGGGCCCGCACAAGCGGUGGAGCAUGUGGUUUAAUUCGAAGCAACGCGAAGAACCUUACCAGGUCUUGACAUCCUUUGACCACUCUAGAGAUAGAGCUUCCCCUUCGGGGGCAAAGUGACAGGUGGUGCAUGGUUGUCGUCAGCUCGUGUCGUGAGAUGUUGGGUUAAGUCCCGCAACGAGCGCAACCCUUAUUGUUAGUUGCCAUCAUUCAGUUGGGCACUCUAGCAAGACUGCCGGUGACAAACCGGAGGAAGGUGGGGAUGACGUCAAAUCAUCAUGCCCCUUAUGACCUGGGCUACACACGUGCUACAAUGGGAAGUACAACGAGU
rnacentral:rRNA from 1 species